GCUCUCGUAGUGUAGUGGUUAUCACGUCUGCUUCACACGCAGAAGGUCCCUGGUUCGAGCCCAGGUGAGAGCA
rfam:Trichinella murrelli scaffold271s, whole genome shotgun sequence.